UAUAUGGUAGGAAUAUUUAAGGUGUUCAUAUAUUAAAAGACAAUAACUGGAAUUGGAAUUUUUUGUUUAUAUUCGAUAAGUUUCUUCAGUGUGAUAAUUUAUAAGCAUAUUAUGGUAAUUGUGUGCAAUAUAUUUAUUUAAUGGUUAGCAAGUUUUAAAGUAUUAUUAUGGCUUACUUUAAUUUUCUAAUUGAAAUAUUCAAUUUAUUGAGCUUCUGUCAUACAAAUACUUAUGUUUCACUACAUUCUCGUCGCCACCACUGUAUUAGCCAACAAAAAUCAGUUCUACCGGCAUUCCGUUCGAACUCAAACAUCGGACACGAGCAUUUCGGCCGAACAUUGCAACGCAACAUCUAACAACGAACUUGUGCUAAGCGAACAUCGAACUCAUUGUUGGAUCCCAUCUGCAACGAACAUUUCUCAAAAUUCUCGCCAUUCAAACGCUAUACGUACCCGGGUUGUCGGACUGUUCGGACGUGCGCAGUAGUUAAGGGGGUGUUUAACGCGAGUUAACCGAAUAAAUACAGUGGAGAAAAAAGAAAUAGAGCUAACAAAAUAAAAAAAGAAAUACCGUGCAAUAGUCAUAGCAAGCAAAUGAAGAGCCGCAAGCGCUGUGAGACGCGCAAAGUUCAUAAUUAAACGCAAGUGGAGAAGCAAAGAAAAAUAUUAGUGUUAAGAAAAGAAAAAUAAAUGAAAUAAGCAACAACAGAAUCAAUGCAUGGAAUAUAAGCGAGGAAACACGAAGUGAGUAAAUAAAAUCAAAGAAGCGCAGCGACGUGCGUUUGCUAGUGAAGUACUAAACACAAAACGACGACCAGACGACAAACGAGAGUACGAAAGUGAAAUGAAAACAAAACAACGCAUGUACACAAAACAACGCAGCUGUCCAUUUUGCAUGUACACAAUUUCGUUGUGGCCAUACUAAUACCUUGCACUUCAAUGAAAUUUUAAUAUUUUGUUAAAAGUUAAAUUUUUUAUGCAAAAAAUAAGUAAAUAGGUAUACAUUUUUGUUUUAAAUUAUCAAUUGUUAUUACAAAUGAUAAAAUAGAGCUAUUUUAUGCUUUUAUUUGUAAAAUAACGUCAAAGUUUGUAAGAGCUGUGAAUAAUUUUAUAUUUUACAUAUUAGUGGCAUCACCACUCUUCCUCAUCUCUCUUCUUGACAACUGUCGGCCUACAGUCGUGUUUUCGUGUCGUUGUCAAAAUAAGUGUCCAUAAGAACGUGUGUAAUAUUUGACAGAUGUCGUUUGUCGACCUGUCGUCGUUUUGUGUUUACAGCUUGAAGAUUGUGUUUUGUGUUUGAAGGCGAGAGAAAAAUAAAAGUUCAGAAGCCAUUGAGAAAAAAAUUAUGUGUUUUAUAUUUAUUAUUGAUUUAAAGUGUGUUGCUAUUAAAGGUGCAGAGUUCAGCGCAAAUGAAAUUUUGUGUGAAUUAAUAAUUUCAUGUUACAGCACGGUAUUUUGUAAAAUUUUUUGUGGCUGUAGUUCACAUUUUUUUGCAAAUUGCAGCAGUGUGCUCAGUGUUGGCAGCGGUUUGACCAGCUUCUUUGGCCCUAAACCUUUUGUGUUUUUGUUAGCGCGUUGUGUUGUUGCGGUCUAGUGUACGAUUAUGUCACUUUUUUCUUAAGCGUUUGCAGUGUUCUUACGAGCGAGCGCCUAAUAAUAAUCAAAGCAGGCAAGAGAAUACAAAUAAAAUACUAAAGAUAUAGCAAGCGAUUAAUGAUUGCGCGUUGUAAGAAAAGUGAAAACAAUAACAAAAUCAAUGAAAACACACAAGCGUUGUUGCUAACAAGCGUUUAUUAGCUGCAAGUAGUCGUAUAAAUUUUGUGUGUUUGUAAAAGUGAUUGAAUGUCUAUGCGCAAAGUGGGAACAAGUGAAUCACAACAAAAAUCAGCUGCUGAUCAAUAAAGACAUCAGGUAUAUCGUCGCGCGCUAUUUAUAGCGUUGGUCAGGAAGGCCGGCAAAAUUAAGCAUUCUAUUAAGAUUUUGUAAGCGUUUCGCUUAAUGUGUCAUUUCGCACAUUAAACGCGAGAGCACACAAGCAACGACGCGCGUUCAUAUACAGUUCAAAAUAUCUAACACGUCGCGCGGUUAGCCAAAGAAACGUGCCAAACAAACUGCUAAAAUAAUAGCAAAACUCUCGUAAAAGAGCAAUCAGUCAACAGCGCUACGAUCAAGUGCCAAUAAAUAGAAAGAAAGGUGACCGCGCUGUUUGUUUACCGUUCGUACGCUUGAGCGCUGAUUACGCCGUCUGCAGACGCGCCGCAACGCGUUCCGCUGCAUCGUUUACCUGUGUCGCCUACUAACAAUCAUUCAAGAAAAUAAACAUAUGAACGAAUUGGUAACCUGGUAACGCGCGUUCUUCGCUUUUGUAUCUUCUGCCCGGUUUAUCGCUUGUAUUAGUCUUGUUUUAGUCGUCGAACGCUUUGCUCAAAUGGAAGUAGACGCAUACGUAAUAAAUAAACUCGUGUGUGCGUGCGGUAAGAUAACACGGUAGAAAGACAGAAAGUGUUAAGAGCGCAGCGCGACAGGCGCCUUCCUAAAAGCUUGAGCGCUUGGUCAAUUGGACGUGCACGAUUUACGCGCAGUUGUGUGAGACGCGAUUAUAAGGACAAGCAAAUUAAAGACGAUAGCUUCGAAUAUGAUUUUCUAUGUAAAAAAUUACUCUUAAUUUUCCAAGGCGGUGAAAAUUGUGAUUUUUCCCGAGCAGAUAACGCUUUGGCUCUCACACGUACACUAGGCGCAUUGCCGCACAGUGACCGUUUCAGCUAAAUUUAUCUUCACUAUUGACAAGUGUGUGCGGAAGCGUUUCGAAUGUAUCACACAACGCGACAACCUGUCAGCAGCGUGACUUUCAUUCUUAGCCAAGCGCUUGCAUUAAGAGGCAGUCAGCUGUUUAGGUAAAGACACACGUACCUAUGCUUAUAUAAAGAGGAGAGCAACAAAGUGUGUGGCGACUAAAAAUAAACCAAAAGAAAAUAGAUAAUCGAAAGAAAGUGAGGCGAAGUGAAAAAAAAAAUACUUGGCCCUGAUUUAUGCCACAAUUAGUGGCGAACUGCGCCGGCUUAUAUGUAUAAAAAGUGUUGACAAUAACACAACGCUUAAACACAUUUGUGAGACGUGCAACCCCAGUUUUGUGCUAUGUUUUCAAUAAUCGGUGUAAUUAUUUGCAUAGUGUUAUAUCAAAGCGAAGUUGCCGACGACAUUAUAACAACAAUAUACAUAAUUAAUAACAACAACCAAAAAUAAAAAAAAAUUACAGCAACAAACAUAAUAAUUAAAGCGCAUUAAAAACACUUAAAUAUCGCCUGUCAGGCGUUUAUAACACGCAUUAAGCCAUAUUAAGCGCUCUAAAGCCAUACAAAAACAACAACAAUAAGGAAUCAAAAAGUGUGCGUACCAAAUUUGUUUUUAUCCUACACAUACACACUUACACGCUCUAUUAUGGCUCACGCCGUCGAAAUGGCCGGCAAACGGAAUGCCACAAAGCCAAUAACAGCGGCAGCAGCGCAUAAAAAACAACAACUACGUCGACUAUUUCUGCUGUUGCAAGUUUGCAUUGCUGUUUUAGUGGCCAGCAGUUGUUUGGCAUUGCCCUCGGCGGCCGACGCCAAACAUCUCGAUGGUCAUCAUUUUUAUGUUCAUCAUGAGCAACAACAACAACAGCAUGCACAUCACAGGCGCCGCCUGCAGCGCGAUUCGACCAGUAAAAUUUUGAACACUUGCGAACAGUGUACCAGGAUUACUUCGAGACGAUCAACAUUAAGCUGAGUGGCAACUUUGAGGAAAAGAACAUUUCCUAGUGCUAAAGGAAUAAUCAGAAAAUAAUACCCUGACGGUCUUUUCAUACAUAAGUGCAUCGAGGCAUGGUAUCACAACCGAGCGAAUUGAUCCGCCGAUUCAGAAAACAUGAUGCAUUUUGAAAAUGGACACGGCAACAGCAUCAACUGUGGCCAUUCCGGAAGAUGCCAUUCAAAAAUUUCUUGUGAAUCUCUCCGUUCGCCUAUCACUUGAUUUCCAGUCGCUGCACAUCAGCAAGGAAGAUUACGGAUUACAUGAAUUGCUUGAAGAAUCCAUUGAACGAUAUACAGUCGUUGGACAGGAGAUCAAAGGAAAUCAACUCUUCAUAAAUUAAUUGUAAAAGAGCGCUAAACUGGUCAGUUGUAGAUAUAAGAAAGAAUGUAUAAAUUAGAGAUGAUGUAACAGUAGCAAAUUAGAUAUAACAGAGAACAUUUAUAUUAGAGAAGAUUCUAUUGCGGACCAGCGUAUAAAUUUUCAAAAGUUAAGAAAAUGUGAUGAGCAUAUUUCAGCCUCGCGAACAUAAAUGAGCAUUGAUGAAUGAGCAUAGUGCACAGAAACUUACUUUGAUAUUACAGCCGUGUCCUUUGGCUUACAUUUUUGUACGUUUAUAUUCAAUCAUACCAAUUGGUAUGAAUAUCAUUGGGAGAAUUUUUAUGAAAGCGAGUAUACUCGUACUUUGCGUGGUUUGCAGAAGGUUAUUUUUUAAGAAUUGCUACGGACGCUAUUUAAUUCUAGUGAGUUACUACGUAUAAUUUUCUUUUAUUUCUUAUUCCUUUAUACAAUAUUUUGCUUAGGCCUAAAUAAAAAAAAAUCAGCUUGCAUUCUAGGAAGCGCAAAAUUUAGGUAUGAGUGCUUCCUAAUUCUACAUACAAGAUUUAUUUAUGUAUUCUUUCAAUGUGUCGUUUAUAAGUCUUUGAAAUUUUUCAACCCCAAGGCAUUCGGAAGUAUUCAUAUAGUCCUUCCGGUGUAACAAACGCUGUUUUCUCGAUAACCCUUUCUGCCAUUAAAAUCUGGUGGUAACCUUUUGCUAAAUCUUUUGUGAUAAAGUACUGUGCUUUGCCCAAUUUAUCCAAGAUUCCUUCGAUAUUUGGUAAAGGAUACUUAUCGUCUACAGUUAUAUUAUUUAAUUUCCUAUAAUCAACUACCAGCCUGAAUUUCUCAAUUCCUGAAUUAUCUAUCUUUUAUGGUAUUAUUAAGAUUUAUAAGCUUUAUCUACUGUGACUUUUCUAAUUAUUUCUUGCUAUUCUAAUUCACACAUUUGUUGUCUUACUACUAUUUUCCGAGCUUCUUUGCUGUCUCGAGCAAUUAAAAAAGUUUUGACUUACUUCAAUUUGUCUUGAAUAAAUUGGAUGACUUUGCCCCAUUGGCUGUCUUGUUUGGUUAUAUUAUUGUCCAUGGGAGCUCAUUUGACGUUAUACAGAUUGUGAACGAUACUUUUGACCAGAGGAAUUUUCGUCUUGUGGACGAUAUCGUCCUGUAAAACUUUGAUUUUGUUGUUGACGAUAUUGCCCUGAAACUACCAGAGCUGUCAUCUAGAAUUCGAGGGUACCUAUGUCCCUUUAAUCCGAAUAAUGCAUCAUGAGGCAUUUGCGGAUUUGACUCCAUUCAAGUGGAGUUUUGUACGACUCCAAUGCGUUGUCGGCAACGACAAUUAUUUUAUGCAUGGUCGUAUGGAAUGUCACGAAGUACUUAUGAGUAUUCUUGACCCCCUAUUACGCUUUGAAAAUUAUGUCAACGCUUUUCCUCCAGGAUUAAAAUUCUUCUGGUCGUGCCAAAAACUUUCUAAGCCAUUUAACCAUGUCCGGAAUCCUGUCUAAUUCAUUUAUAUUAUUUGCGUUCAGUGUAAUGCUGUGGUCGGGUUCAGUAAAGUCAGUUAUAGUCUGCUUAUCCUUUCAAUCAAGCACUUCUCGAGAAAUUGUCGUUAUUAGAGUGUGGUUAGGGGUGGGAGGGUUUAUGGAAGGGUGGAACGUUUUGAAAGAUGGGUGGUUUGCCCAUAAUCUAACCUCAUCUGGAUUAAUUGUUCGAUCAAUUUUUCAACAGUAUCUUUCAAUAAUUAAAUUUCUUUUUCUUUGUAAUAACAAUAUUUUCUUUAAUAAUAUUAAAAUAUCUACAGUAGUGGUUUCCAGCUUUACGUAAGAUAUUUCAUGACGUUCCGGGGUUGUCCUUUUCUCUGAUGAUACUGGGGUCCCCCGACGCUGGUAAAUCCCACGUGGUAUUGCGUUGUAGCCGCUCGUCAGCAUAGUAUUUAUUAUUUCUUUCUCACACGCGUAGCCUUAUUUUUUUCUUUUAGGACUUUUUUCGCGUUUGUGUGUUUCCGUAGUCUUACUGUUUGAUUUUCAGGCUGUUAAUUACUUUUGCGCGCUGGUCCCGGCUCGGGCGCCUGUUAAAAAACUUUUAUUUAAUUUCUUAUAAAGAAAUAUUUUUGGGAGCUAUUCUUCUUUAUUGAAUUCUGUCUUAGAAAUAAAAUUUGCUAUUAAUUACACUUAAUUCUAAACGUAGGUAGGUGCCGUUGAAACGGGUAUGGAGUUUGCUGACGCUGCUCUUCCCAUAGGUUGCCACUACACGUGUCGCACUCUCAGCUAUUUAGUUAGUGUCGUAUUCUAUUACUUUGUAUCAUAAGAUAUUAAUGCAUCAUAUGAUACUUUUUAAAUGCGUGAUGUGCUAACUUGCAUAAAUAAUUAUGGCGUAGUUUUCAAUAACUUCCUGUAGUACCCAAUUGUUCCAAAAAAUCCUCUAAGUUGCCGUUGCGUCUUGGAAUUUGAAGAAUUCUUUAUCCUUUCUAUUUUUUUAAGACCCCUUUUUAUUACUUUAUGGGGUACAGCAUAUCCAAAAAAUUCAAUUUCGGCUGCUAUAAACAUUGAAUUUUCCAUGGAAAUUUUCAUAUGAGCUUUUUAAAGUGUUCGUACUAAAUAUUUAAAAUGAAAUAUAUGUAGGAGACUCAUUUGAAUUCAUCUCCUUUAUUUUAAUUCACUUCACUUCACUUCACUUUACUACUAGUAGUUUAUUUUUAUUUUAAAGAAGCACAGUGAGUUCCGAUCGUCUCAAUGCCGCUUUCUCAACUGAACUCUACUUGAGCGAGCACAGCGCUCAAUGACCACGCAUUCCUUUCAUACUUAAAACACAUAACGGUUCCAUAACAGUUGUGUUCUUUCUUAGUUCGCGGAAUACGAUCGGACCUCACUCAGUAACAGUAUCUCUAUCCUGUUACUAUGCUUAUUUGCGCAUUUGCAAGACAAAGUACCGCAAUAUAUGCCGCCUAUGCGUCGCCUGCGCCGAGCCUGACGCUCUGGCACAUACGCUUACUUACAAAAUAUUAGCACUACAAAAUACGCAUCUACAGUGACAUACAAAAUACAAGCAUAAGCGCUCCGACAUAUAUGUUAGUUUUAUGCUUCCGAGUAUACUAUAAUAUCGUCAAUAUAGACGUAAGAAAAAAUUCCGAUACAUUCGUGUAGAAUAUUGUUCAUUGCUAGCUGAAAUAUAAAUUAUUCCUCAGCUCUAUGUGCUGUUGUCCAGGAAAUACAAUCACAGCUAACUUUUCCAAUCAAAUAAUUUUUAUUAAGCACUAUAUGCUUUUGUUCAAAUCUGGCUUAAGACUAAAACCUAAAAAUAUGAGCCCUGCCUGAUUCCCUACACUUGGCACAAUUUCGGCAUUUCUGCUGCUACUGUACCUGAUACUGUUGUUGUUGUUUACCUGCACUUGCUGUCGUUUAGACAACAGGUGAAUCGCUGCUACUGCGCUGAUAUUUUAGUAGCGAAGAAUUUGCCAGUUGAUGAGAAAAUGGUGACGCGGACUAUUCCCACGCUUACUGACUGGCGUGGAGUAGUUCUAAGAACGCUACUGUGGGCAGACUAGCAGACUAAUGUGUUAACUGCCCCCUUCUAAAUCGCGGCCGUCCGCGGCCGCUUUCAAGAUCUUAGCUACCGCUUCCUUCUUGUAAUUUGUGUCCUUUAUGCGUUUUUUCGUUCUAUGUAUCCAAAAUACUAAUGCUGCACCUAUAAUGAUAGCAACGGCCAGUAUCACUAAUCUGGUUAGUCGGAUGCCGUUCAUACUUGGCUUCUUUACAAAUUAUGCAGUUGGCAGUAAUUUCCUUUAAUUUCUUCUGCAUAAUUGGAAAAUAGUAGUCGUUCAAUACCUGUUUAAUGUUAUCUCGGAUAGAGCGAUGUGCUCUACUAUGUUCCAAAUUUUUAAAUGUAUAGUAAUUUGAUGCCUUAUCCUUAACUUGUAAAUAAUUCUUGUCUUCUUAGUUGUGACAUUUCCUUCUUCAAGAAUUAAAAUUCGAAAUUAAUUAAAAGGGUUCUCUACUUUUGGAAUAACUUAUGUUAGAAAUUCUGCACUAUGCAUAGUAACUGGUGAGGAUUCCCGCUCUAUUGCAUUAAUGUGCUGUCGUGACAAUGCAUGGGCAACAAGAUUAUCUUCACCGGAUUUAUAAUGAAAUUGAGGUGAAAACUCUUCCACAAAUGCUCGGCAGUGUUCUAUUUUCGUUUCUUAUCCAAGACAGCGAAGGUCAAAGGCUGAUGAUCGGUAAAAAUAUUCAGCUGUUUUACUCCGUGCAAAUAGCUUCGCAGCUUCUGAAGUGCCAACACUAUUGCUAAAAGCUCUCUUUUAUUGGUAGUAUAAUUCUCUUCUGCUGCCGAUAACUUUCUGGAAAUCAUGGUUAUCGGCCUAUUGCCUUGAGAUAAUACCACCCCAAUAGCGUGUGCUGAAGCGUCAGUUGUUAAGUCAAAGGGUUUAUUGUGAUCAGGAUAUAGCAGAAGUACGUCCUCAGAAGAUAAAAUUCUUUCAACUUUUUCGAAAUCCAUCAACGCAUCGUUGUCGAACUCAAUUCUAACAUUUUUUGAUCGAUUCGUUCCCACAUGAUCAUUUUCUUCCCUUAAGUAUGUUGUGAGAGGCUUUACUAUGGAGGCAUAAUCUUUCAUAAACUUGUAGAAUAUCGACUGCCACAUAUUAACUUCGUGUGAUAUUCGCUGUUUUAGUGUUAUAUUUACACAUGUUUUGACAAAAAUAAAAAAUUGUUCUAUUUUAAAACCGAAACAAAAAUUGGGUUCUUUUGCGAAAGCCGAUUGCGCCAGUUACGAUUUCUGUUAUUUUACAGAAAAUGUAUUUUAGUUGAAUACAAAAAUACCCCGAUUUCCAGUACCGAGCGGUUUGUCGUCUUUAUUACUAAUCUUAAUUAUAACAUGACUUAAUUCUAAGCUUAAAGCUAGCGCCUCUUGUUACAGCUAUUCCAUGAAACGUUUGCAAGUUUUCUCUCUAAGCAAUGGGAAGAUUAAAACAAAUAAUUUUUUUUUUCCUUUGAUUCAAGCUUCUUUCUCUAUUGAAGGCAACUCGAAUACAAACAGCUUUUUACAAUUAAACAUUACUUCUAUUUAUACAAAAUUUAUAACUUAAUUCUAUAUUACUUGUUGUUGCAAUUUUGUCACCUGAGUCAAUUUGCUGAUAAGCGAAAGUCUGUCAAUGGAAGUGUAUUUCCGCAAAUGUACUAAUUUAAGUAAAAUUGGCGAUUUCUUAAUAAAAGUUAUGCUCGCGCAUGCAGAGUCAAUUCUUAUUAAUUUAUAUGUUUUUGCUUAAGUCAGUUUGGAAACGGAAUUGAUUUUAUGAAAUUUUUGAGUUUAGGGUGUUAAGUCCUCCCCUUUUAAGUUCGAUCGUCCUCGGUCGAUUAACAGUAAGGUAAGUUGUUGAAACUGAUGGCUUUUUGAAGUGGAUUUUCUGUUUCCAAUAUAUUUGUCGUCAAAUAUUUUAUAUUAACGGGCGUUUCUGUUUUAUGCGAUAUUUCGUGUACAACAACAUUUUCUGUGCUUUUCUUCCAAAAUAAGAAAAAGAUCAUGAUUGGUAUCAAGGCUAUGCCGAUCCCAAGUUAGGAGAAUUUAUUUAUUAUUGCAUCCAUUUUUAAGUAAUUGAUAGUUUUGGUGUUGUUGAUAUGCAGUUAGUUUAAAGAUUCCACAGAGAGUAUAUUUAAACGUUCACUCUCUGAUGGCGCUGGCUGCCAUGGAACUACUUCUAAUGUAGGCGCUUCAAUAUUCGGAAAAUAUUUGUUACCUAUUUUAAGUGAUGUGUUGUGGAACUUAAUAAGGAAAGUACCAACUAUUCUGUGGUUUCCUUAUCGGUAUUUAUUAUACCACUAAAAUCGUUUAAAAGUAAUAAGCUUGGUUGCAACUCUUCAAUCAUCGGAAUAUGACCAUUGCUUAUUACGCAUUAUUAAUUUAUCCCAGCAGGGACGAUAACUAUUUUUUUUAGUAGGAAGAUGAAAUUUUGAGGGCUUGUUAAUGUUGUUAGAAUGUAUUAAAAAAAUUAAUUUUUGUGGUCAUACUUUAUCAGAUAACUGUACAAUGACCUGUGACCAUAUGGUAGCGCUAGGACCUACAGGGUACACGUUUACAUUUACCUUAAAAAUGUAAUGUGCUAUAAGAAAAUAAGUUAAUUAAGUAAUGUGAAUAAAAUAAUGAACUUUAUUUAAAUAGUUAAAAAAACAUAUUUAUUUUUGGUUUUCGUUGUCAAUAUGGUACUGAGCGAAGCACUUGACGCAUAAACCUACAUUGCAUUUAAUGCAUCGAGUUCUCACAACACUUUUACAAGUUUCAUCUAAGCAGCGACGUCUAUUUAUGAUUGGUUCAAUAAAAUGAUCAGUGUGAUCAAAGCGGAUGUUUCCAUAUACGCCAUCGUGCAGCCGGGGUCGUUUCGGGCCAGGUUGAACCGGCGGUUCGCCGUAAUGUUUGCAAUAAAAUACUGCAAUUUCACGUUUAAAUUCUAAUUGCGAAAGCUUCUUCGAACUCUGUAGAAGGUGCCAAGCAUUGGAUACUGCAACGUCAAUAAGCCAAGUAAAUAUUAAAGACCACCACAUUUUUCCCCGCUAUGCUAUUCGGUACAUAUUUACGUUUUGAUCGAGCCUAUCAACACCGCACAUGUAUUUAUUAUACUCCGUUAUCACGCAUGGACGUGGAAUGGCGAUAUUUUUCUCAGCUUUUUUGCAGUAUCGCGAAGCUGAUGAAAUUGGCGAGCUACCGUAACAAGUUGAAGCGGCACACACAACAGAGUUAUCAACCCACUUAGGCAGCUUUAUUCCAAUAUUUUCUAUUGUAGCAGUUUCGAAUGAACCUCUAUUAAACUUUUUCAUUGCCACUUUUGUUUUCAAAGGGCAGCUGGAAGGAAUACGAUUUUCUCUUACCGUUCCUGUUCCAUUGUACCCCAUCGUCUUCAGAUAAGUCAGUAAUGGAAAACUUGUAAAAAGGUUGUCGAAAUAGAAAGAAAAUGGUAAACUCCUUGUGUUUUCGUCAAAUUCAUUUAUCAUGUUUAUGAGAGGUGCUGCACACUUUCCAAAGCACUGUUCGUAUUCCGUGUUUGAACGUGGAUUUCUUCCUUGCUAUUUGUCGAAAUUGAAUAGGUAUCCGGACGGAGUGCAUAAAGACCAAACUUUGUAGCCGAAACGGAUAGGUUUGCCUUUUAGAAACUGCUUGCAUCCGUGGCGACCGUGGUACGCAAUCAUACUCUCAUCGAAAGACAGUUGUUGGCAUGGAUGGAAGUGCUUCAACAUAUUGGCCUUUAAAUGGUCUGUCAUAGGUCUCAACUUCCAAAAUUUGUCUUCAUUAUCAUUAGGCGCAACCAGGUUAGGUUCAAAAUGUAAGCACCUACUAAUUUCUUUAAAACGGUCUCGACGCAUGGCUUGUACAAUUAGUUCGUUGCGUAAGUUCUCUGAGCUGUUCCAAUACAUCUUCACAUUAGCAGCGGUGUUGUAGCCGGAUAUUAAAAGUAUACCAAUGAAUGUACGCAAUUCUGUAAAAAUGUAAAUACGUAUUAAAAGUCAAGAGGAAAAAGUGUAUAAAGUUACUAACUCACCACGAAUAUUGAUAUUCAACACAGGUUUUUCAAAUUUCUUUGUGGCAUACAAUAAUGAACAUUGCACGAUAUGCUCUAAUAAAGCGUCAUCAAAAAAAAAUUCAAACAACUCGUGAGGCUGCAAGCCACGACAAUCAUUGUAGUUUGCUUCCGGAAAUAAAAGCAUUGGAUCAUUUCUACAAUCCUUCGACCAAUUAAACACAGUGUCCUUAUUUGCUAACGGAAGAGGUUUUUCAGACGGGGUACCUUUUACUCUUCUUAACCUGCUGGAUACAGGCGCUAUGUGAAUAUUUUCAUCUGAUAGCUGUCGUUGUUUCUUCCUUCUGUACUUUCCUUGGUGGUCUGUGCGCUUAUGGACUGUGGGCAGGUUGAUUUCACAUACUCGUAAAACUGCUGUUCUACAUUAUAAGAUCCAUCACCUAAUAGAUCCGCUAGAGCUGCUUCAAUAUUUCCCUCUACGUCACAUGAGUCCACCAUUGAGGCAGAAUCUACAUGCGCACCAUUUUUAAGCACAAGUUCACACCCUUCGUUCAAUUGAUUUCGACACACAUUGUCAAUAAUUCCACCGUCAUCUUCGUUAGCAUCGUCUUCGCCACUUAGUUCUCGCCAACCUCUCGCUUCGGCUUCCGAAAUGAGUUGCAGUUGAAACAUCUGACACUAGUGCGAGGCAUCUGCAUUGAGUCAUGUUGCAAUUCAACUCUCCAGAACGCCUGCAGAAGCUGCACUCUUGCAGUGUAGUAUUGGAUAUAUACCUGAGUCCGUAACUGCUCGUCCGGCAUACCCUCGACAAUAUGGUCAAUCAACUCGCAUUCAUCCAUAUUCAACGGACCUGACAGUGAAACCUUUUCAUUGUAGUACUUUUGGAAGCCUUCACCAAUCGACCACUUGCGCGCUUCAAACUGUUUUCGCAGCAACAACUUGUUGUGUGUUGGUGCAAACACCGCUUGCAUUUCUGCAACAAGGCUGUCUAUAUUUUCUGUUAUAAACAGAGGCCUCGCGUGCAGCCACAGGCCGACUUCCUAAACGCAAGUUGCGAUGCAUAACUCGAAAAAAUGCGUAUGAAAUGCAAAGCUGAUUUUCAACGCAACUCUGCGUUGCAAAUAAAUGCUUUGCAUAUAAAUGACGUUUAGGAACGUCAUCGUGAAACUCAUACAUAAGUAAAACAUAUGUCAAAUAAUGACUGUUAUUAGAAAUAACGAAAUUUUGAGUUAAUAUGGACGAGAGAAGAAAUUAUUCAUUAUUUUUAUUAGCAAAUGCUGAAGAAUUAGCUUUACUACUGCAGCUCAAAAAAAGAUCGCUGAUGGGUUUUCUCAACGUCGCCACAAUAUAUUUCCUUUUGUAUUAGGAUGCAUUGAUGGAACGCACAUUCCCAUAUCACAACCAAAAAAUGAUGCAAUAAGUUUCUAUAACAGAAAAAGGACGUUUUCCAUCAUUGCACAGGCCAUUGUUGACAGCGAUAUGAAAUUUCUGGACGUCUUUGUCGGCUGUCCCGGACGAUGUCAUGACGCAUCAGUGUGGCAAAGGAGCCCAUUUCGUAGAGCACUAGUAAGCGGUGAAUUAAAAAUUCCACCAAAUCACCACUUCUUAGGCGACGCAGCUUAUCCGCUAGAAACGUUUCUCAUGGUGCCAUAUCGGGAUAAUGGUUUUUUAACAUCGCAGCAGAGCAAAUUUAACACUAUUUUAAGCACUAACCGAGUUUUUGUUGAACAGGCGUUCGGGAUAUUAAAACAAAAGUUCAGAAUUUUAAAAUUCAUUGGUGUACAGCUCGCUCAUAUUCCAAAAAUUAUUGUAUUAACGUGCAUGAUAAUACAUAACGUGAUUAUAAUCAAUGAAGGUCAGCAAAACAUUGAUUGCAUAGAAUUGGACGAAGAGGAGGCCCAAACAUCUGAAGUUAGUGUUCCAUCAUUGCAAAGAGAUGAAGCCCAAUAAAAACGAAAUGCCCUGGCAGUGUUGUUUUCAAGUUGAAUUAAACGACAAUUCUAGAAUAAAAAAACACAAUUUGAAUAACAUGAACAUAAAUGUAUUUUAUUUCAUAAGAUAGGAACUUUCAAAACUAUAACAUAUAUAUAUCUAUACUAGCUGACCCCGCAGCCGUUGUCCUACGUGAAAUUAUAUGCUUUGAAAUGAAAAGAAAUUUGAAAUGAAAAUUCAUAUUGUGUUGAUAUCAUUUAAUUGAGAUUUUUCUACAUUUUUUUCAAUGUAACGCAGCUUGAUAAACAACAUUUUUUGGUUUCUGUCCCGGUGCGUUAAUGUACAGAGAAGAUGGUUUUCCAACUCGUGUGCACGCCACUUAUAUCUGGCCGUGUGAAAAACAUAGCAUUUUCAAAUUUAUGUCACCCACUAUGCGACUAUCCUGUUGAUCGUCAUCUCAAAUUCAAUUUUCACUGGAAACGGAAUACAUUUGAGCUGAAAUGGCAAAUCGUUAGAACUCAAAGGAAUUCGUACAAUCAAGCAUUCUGCGCCCUUGUUUUCGAUGGGUGCUUCACAAUCAGUCGGGUUUCAUUACACAGUUUCGGUGCAUGAAGAUUGCGAAACAUAAUAAUGACAGGUCCAACUUUGAGACGCACAGGAUGCGGUGGCAUACCAAGCCUCUCCAAAGAAUUUAUAAAUUUCACUGGAUAAUUGACGGCGUCGUCGUCAUUGUCAAGAUGAUCGAUUGAUUUGUAUGAACGCAAGUCUCCCGGAAUUUGACUUUGAAUCUUCCAGUUUAAGUCAUCAACAUCGGUAUUUUUGGCAGCUAACAUUGCGCGUGCACUUAAGGAAUCGUAGUUACGAUAAUUUGGCCAAUGUCCGAACAUUCGUGAUGAGUUCAUCUUUCGUGAAUUGAUAAAGGGAAGAUGGAAUUGAUAUCGAACCACCGGAAGUAUCAACCGUUAUUGUACCAUUUCCAAUUUUUAGCGAAGACGAUGUAAAAUGUCUUUGACAAUCUUUAUAUCGAAAAGUAUGCGAACUUCAUUUUCAUUCCAGUGAUUAACGUGUUCCAGCAUUUGUAAUAUUGCUGGCUUACUUCUCCAAAACUUUCACAUAUUCCCAUAUACCAUUCACAGUAAACAAUGACUCAAAUAAAGUUGAACCGCGUACCUUAAUCAAUAGCAACCGAAGGUAGAAACCAUCGUUGUUUUUCGGGUGGAUUGUGUAAAUUCGUCCUAAUGCAUUAGUUAAUAAGACACCUGGAUGUCAAUCUACUGGUUGGCCUUGCUUUCUGCGUAACUAUUUCUUCGACGAUGCAUCCCAAUUAUAAUAUCAAAGUAUUUCCGAAUGUCCUUGCAAAUGGAUCACUGACGAAAGUUGUGCUUCCUUUGGUCACGUAUUUCCAAACGUAUUUUAUCGAUUUCACCAAACUGCAAUACUAAACACUGAUAUGAGUUUUGAAUGUGAAUUAGACAAUAAUGGUGAAUACAGUACGAUCCAUGUGUUGUCAACUUCGAUAUUCACUCUUCUAAGUUGAAUGCUGAACGUUCUGUUAUCUGGUGAGCGACGCCGAUAGAGUUGAUAUCUACCAUUUCUAGUUUGUGCUUCCGAAAGAAAAGCAGAGUGAAUAGUGUUUCGUGCAUUUAUUGUCAGACAUACAAACCGAAGUGGGAUUGUAAUGUCCGCAAGGUCCAUGAAUCAUAUUAUGGUGUAACCAUCAUCCAAAGAAGAAUGUGUGCAUGCAAAAUAGAGGUUUUUGCCACUCAACAAAGUACAUCUCAUCCAACAGCACCACAUAUACGUUGCUUCAAGAUAAAGACAAUCAAACAUCGUAACUGUUGUAGGAAAAGUCGUGCUGUAACAUCGUGACGAUCACUUGCUGAUUGACCGCGAAUUAUAAUUCCGAACGUAUGUCUCCGCAUCCUGGGAGUACUUCUUGCCUUGCCUUGCCUUGGCCUGCCAUACUUUGUUGGCAAAAAGAACACCGACCGAUAUUAGGUCGACCUCUUGGUGGCUUCGUAACAAAUUUCAAUCUGCAAUUGACCUCUUUGUGUGAAACACACGUAAAGUUUUCACUGAAUAAUUUUCAAUAAUUUUUCUUUUGAAUAGACGAAAAAAAAAGCAAGCGACCGAAAUUGAACGAAUCAAAUAAUUUACAAAUCAAAAUAUUGAAAAACAAAAUAAACAAAAAUUGAAAAAAAAUGUGUAUGGAAAAAAUUUACUUUUUAGAAAUGUCCAAUUUUCCGACUUUUCCUCAUAAUGAUAUAUAUCCAACGAUAUCGCCUUUUACUUUGGCAUCGUUUUGUUUCAUACACGUUUACGCCAAUUUAAGGUUUGAAUAUUGGAUACUGCGAUGGUAGCGCCAUCUAUCGAUCAAACAUUACAAAAUUAAAAAUUGAUUAAAAAUGAAAAAAUAAUUUAAAAAACAUUUUCCAGUGGACCAAAUUGUAAACAUAAACCUUUCCCGAAUCUCCUUGAACGUACAGACAAAAUUUCAUCAAAAUCGGCCCAUCCGUUUAGGAGGAAUCUCAAGGCAAACACACGGUCAGAAGAUUUAUAUAUAUAAAGAUAUUUCUUAUAAUUAUAUAAUAGUGGGUUUUCAAAUAAAGCCCGUAGUUGCUUUAAUUCUUUAAGUUUUUCUUUUUCAACUUCAAGUCUUUCACUUUCUAUUUUUAUAAGCUUAUUUAUAGCUUCGUUUUCCUUUUCGGAUUCUUUCUCUAAGAAUUCGAUUACGUCAUUUCUCUUUCUUUUAACUGAUGUUGUAGGUGUUACAUCCAUUCCGUCAAUUGUUGCUGUGAUGGAAGGACUUUCCAAUGAAAUUAUAGAAUACUCGGUCAUUUCUAGUGGCACUUCAAUACUAGAACGACUCCCAAACACUUCAUCGAUUUCACUAAAAUAUUCCCAAUUUGAUGCUGCUUCGCCAGAAGUACUGUUUCUUUUCUUUAUACGCUUAUAAGUCCCCAUUAUGUUGAGAAAACACCUCGUUAUUUCAUCUCUUGAAAAUGGAAACGAGCUCUCAACGUCCCUCAUUUCCCUUAAAAUCGACUCCCAAAUUAUAUUUCUCUUUCUUUUUUGCCGAAAAAUUCUGCUUCAUGACGAAGCCUUGUUGUUAUUAAUAAUUUCUUCCGCUCGUGUGUCCACUUUUUUUCUCUAUAAUAUAAGAUAAAACGAAAUGAUAACACAAUUUAAAUUAGUUACAAUAAAUAGAAAUUAUUUACUCUGCCAUUGUCUGUUCUGCAUGCCAAAUAAAAUUGAUGCACGCCUUAAACAUCUGAUGCGUUUAAAACUGAGUUGCCAACUAAUUAGGAACAUUAGGCGUUGCCAGAAAAUUCAAGUAUGACUUUAGGAACUAUAUGCAUUGUAAAUAUGCAUUGCAACCUGCGUUUAGGAAGUCGACCACACUCUUGCACUACCUUUUAGUUUGCUUAGCAAUACAGCGCGCCAUGAUCGAGAUUAAAAGCUUUCCCAGCACUUCUUAAUUGUUGAAUCCAAACGUUAAAAUUCGGCCGACCUUCGUAUUCUGGUAACAGAUCUUUUAACAUCUCCAAAGGUACGAGUAUAGCACCGACAUUCCUUACCGUAGCGCUCUCUUUAUUACGUUCGUUUGUUACUGUACCUACUGCGCCGUUGCUGUUCAAAGCGUCAUUAUCGUUUAAAGUGCUGUUGUCGUUGAAAGCGCUGCCGUUGUUCAAUGCGCCGCCGUCGUUCAUAGCGCUGCCAUUAUUCAAAGCGCCACUGCCGUUAUUCAAUGCGCCGCCGCUAUUAUUUGUUGCAUGUUGUAUGAUUGUUUGUUGUAUGUCGCGCUGACAUUCGUUGCGUCGUUAUUUAAAGUACUCGAAGCUCUGCUAUUCGAUGAAUCGUCUUUUUCUGUCACAUCAGUGGCCCCGCCUACACAUUGCUUGAUUUAAGUUGCACGAUCAUUAGCUUUAACUGCUCGACUUUUUUGGUCAGGAGCUCAUUCUGCGUCUUUAAAUCACGUUCCGCUGCCUCCUCCAAAGGUGAUUCAUCAAUGCCCACCGACAAUCGCCACGCUCAAUUGCAGGCACAUCGCCCAACCUUAUUGCCAGGGCACUUUUGUUGCCAUGAGUCGGGAGCCCCAACCGCUUCAACCACUCACGCAACUGGGCCGCCGUAUAUAUGUUUGUAUAGACGCACUCCAAUUUUAUAAAAAAAAAUUCCAAAAAUUUUGUUAAAACUGUACUUUGCUACUGUGCCCGAAUCCCACUUCUGAGAUUUUGUAGGAAGACCGAUUCGUUUCGUGGUUGCGUCCGAACUAACUCUUCUUUAUUUUUUCUCACUUUCAUGUCGCCAGUUACAAGUUUAAAAAUUACAUCAGGGUUGCUUAUUCGAGUAACAUUAAAAUAAGGUAUGAUACAAAUUCAAAAGUAGUACCGUCUUGCUUAUACAAGUAAUAUUAAAAUAAAGCAUAAUACAAAUUAAAAGUACAACAGGAUUGCUUAUUCAAGUAACAUCAAAAUAAGGUAACGAUACAACAUAAUACAGUAAUCACAUUUACAUUGCUACAAUCUUCUUCUUGAAGCUUUCCAUAGCGAUUUUUAUUCCAUUCCAUUUCAUGCCCUUUGAAUGGCAUAUUUAAUGUUGAUUAAUUUUUCUUUUACAGUUCUUAUUCUAUUUCCGAUACUUCAUGCUAAUUCGUUUUCAAUAUGACCACACUUUUUAAUAUAAUAAGAUAUUUCGUUUGUAAUAUUUAUUAAACUAUUAAGUUGCUUAUUAAAUGCUUCGUUUUAGAACAUUUGUUUAUUGUUAUUACUGUUUAAUUCGUUUAUAUUUUUACUUAUAAUUUCAAAAUCUUCAUGAUCCGGAUUACCGGCAAUAUAUUCCAUGCCGUUUCGAUCAAGUUAAUAGCCCUUUUACUCCGGAAAUUUUGUAAUUUCUGAUUUGCAGGGGAUUACCCAAAGAAAAUCCCAAACAAAAAAAAAAAAUACUGUGGAAUGUUUUUCUUAUGCCCUAUGCGUCCUGUUUUUGUUUUAACUGUCGUGUUAAAGUUAGUUGCUGCUAUUUCCUUUUUAUACCUUGGGGACAACUUUUUUCCAAUUCUCCUAUUCAAUUUUACGUA